CCCGAAGGAGCAAUGAGGCUGAAGAGGCAGCUGUGGUUCAGGGGAGAGGCCCAGGAUAGAGCUAUGCAUUUGAGCCCAUGGACCCCAAGAGUGGAUGGACCCCAAGAUCUAGGAGACCAAGCCUAAAGGAGAAAACAACAGUCAGGAACAGCACUGGAAGCCAACAGGCCAGAUGGAGUUAGUCCUGAAGUCAAACUUUCAGAAAGAAAAAUGUCUUAGUCUUCAAGCCCUUUUUUCAAAAUGGUCACAGGGUUCAACUCAGCCUAACUGGACACAGGCCUGGUCCCUGCAGCAUCGAAGAAGCCAGGGGUAGCAUCUUUGGCCAAGUCACCCACUGACCCCCACGGCCUGGCAACUUUUGUGCUUCCCACCUGCAUGUCACCUCUGGGGGUCCCUUCCCUCCAAGAACGUUGCCAUCAGGUGGUCUUUCUGAUUUCCUCUGCUUCAGCAAAGGCCUUAUUUUUUACUCAAGAGCCUGGCUUCCUGAUCUGCACAAAAGAGACUCUCCAGAUGUGUCCUGGAAAAUCCCCCAAAAGUAGGGGGAAAGGUCCCAGUCAAAGCCAAAGCAAGGAAGAGGAAAAAGAGGAAGGAGGAAACUGUCAUGGGAUAAGAUUUUGUCACAUAUCUGUAAUUAAAGGUCCUCUUAUAUGUGCAUACACAAACACACGCACGUAUACGCAUAACACGGUUAACAAAUAUUAAGAUCUUAACAGUGGCCUUCUCUAGGAAAGAUGGGAUUAUGGGUGACUUUGAUUCGCCUCUAUCCUAGCUCUCCUCUUACUAGCUGUGUGAUUUAGAGCAGGUUAGCUAGCCUCUCAGUUACUCAGUUUCUUCACCUGUAAAAUGGGGCCAUCAUUCUUCUCAGUGUACUAUAUUGUGAAGAUUAAAUGAGAUUAUACAUAUCAAGAUCUCAGAACAGUGCCAGGCACACGUAGUAGAGGUUGAGCAUUCUUAAUCUGAAAACCAAAAAUCUGAAAUGCUCCAAAGUCCAAAACUUUUUGAAUGCCAACAUGACACCACAAGUAGGAAAUUCUACACCUGACCCCAUGUGAUGGGUCGCAGUCAAAAGACCAUCAAAACUUUGUUUUGUGAACAAAAUUAUUAAUAAUAUUGUAUAAAAUUACCUUCAGGCUACACAUGUAAGAUGUAUAUGAAACAUUAAUAAAUUUUGUGUUUAGACUUGGGCCCCAACCCCAAGAUAUGUCAUCAUGCAUAUGCAUAUAUUCCAAAAUAAAAAAAAAUCCAAAAUCCAAAACACUUCUGGUCCCAGGAUUUAGGAUAAGGAAUAUGCAACUUGUAACAGAAUCAACAAAUACAACAACUAUAAUUAUUUCUCCCUGUCUCCUUAGCCUUUUGCAAAGGGUAUGCAUUGCUUUGUAAAUUUUUUUAAGCGUUGUAUUGUUUUAAUUCAAAAAGUAGCUGGCACGGGGGCUCACGCCUUUAAUCUCAGCACUUUGGGAAGCCGAAACGGGUGGAUCACGAGGUUAGGAGUUCGAGACCAG
rnacentral:lncRNA from 10 species